GUGUUUCUCUCUCUUCCCUUUCUGCACAGGAAUCGUUACUCACUCUGCACACAAUGCCAGGGUAUUCUAUGUCUCUGUGAUGGCAGCAGAGUGCAGCCCUAUGGCUUGACCCCAGCCUCAGCCUUUGCUUGGGGACAGUUAGCAUGGAGACAGCACCUGCCUGCAUAGCCUGAGCUUACUUGGAGGGAAGUCAAUGGUAACGGCCUUCUCUAUGAAAGGAACACUAAGUUUACCUGUGAAGGAGGUAUUCCCACCUACGCCAAAUGCAUGACUGGAGAGAAUUUCAAGGCAUGGGCAUAGAUGCAUGUAACAGAGACUCGAUUUAAAUAAAAAUUGAGUCCAAAUUACUCAUCUGCUUUAAGGACUUUAGUUGUACACAUGUGAACGUCACUGCCCAGCAUGGUUCAUCACAGCUUCCCCUGUUUUUAACACCAUAUAGGUCACAUUGAAACCCAGUGAUAUCACUGUUCCAAAAUCCCCUUUAUCCUCAUGGUGAAUACGAACACAGUGUUUUAAACACCUUUGUUAAUCCCUGCUGGAGAAUAACAAAUCAUUUGUUUGAUUAAACUUUAUCUCUCAGACUUGGACAGACAUGGCUGCAACAUGAAAUGCCCCAAGUGAUAAGAGAGCUGAGCGGAGCAGGUCACACUAACUCUGUGUUGAAACACAGAUUUAGAUGUUAUACUGAUCUUCAGGUGAAGGCUGAGUUAUUGGAAGUGAUGCAGGCCCUACUUCUCUGAUUGGCACAAGGGCUGAUAAACAUUUCAGGUAGCCCAGGAAGAGUCGAUGAGCCCAGCUGGAAGUUUUGGCUGAUCCCUAGGAAAGGCUCAGCAGCACCAACACGAGCUCUGGAAAACAAUCCCCUUCUCCCAAGACAAUAUCUGGGAUAUGGAAAUAAAUAAAUGGAACCCUGCGUUAUAUUUCCUUAGAAAACAGGGUUGGAGAGCUCAAGGAUCCUCUGUGGGGACCUGAGCUUCCCCCAGCACUGCAGUGCUGGAGCUGGAUGAGCCCCACCAUCUUUAAUCAGAUCACUGGAAAUAUACAGAUGCUGAUCCGAACCCAAAUGGAAAUCUUACAUUAGGACAGAAUAUGGUGUAGGUGUUUUGGAAGCGUGGAUGUGUUCAGUGAAACACUCUCCCUCUGCGGAUGCUAACCUCGCUCGGACUUGUUUGUUCUGCAGCACCUUCCUUGCUCUGUAUGGUUACAAUUUAGCUUGCAUUUUUUUCAACCUAAAAAAAAAAAAAAGAAAAGGGGUAAAGUGAGAAAACAGAGGGUGGGGGGGAGAG
ensembl:lncRNA